rnacentral:rRNA from 1 species
UGCCAGCCGCCGCGGUAAUACGGGGGAUGCAAGCGUUAUCCGGAAUCAUUGGGCGUAAAGCGCCUGUAGGUUGUUUAAUAAGUCUGUUGUUAAAGACUAGGGCUUAACCCUAGAAAAGCAAUGGAAACUACUAGACUAGAAUCAGGGAGAGGUAAGCGGAAUUCUUAGUGUAGGGGUGCAAUCCGUAGAUACUAAGAAGAACACCAAAAGCGAAGGCAGCUUACUGGAACUGUAUUGACACUGAGGGACGAAAGCGUGGGGAGCGAAGAGGAUUAGAUA